GGUGUCCCAAACGGCUCUGUUCAAGCCGUUCUUACUGUGCUAUGGGCGCGAACGAGGCCGUUUGUCCUGCUCCGCCGACUCCUGUGCCUCCCUGGUGCUCAGCUGGGUCUUAAACCCGGAAGUCUUAAAGGUUCCGGUCCGCACACCCCAGUUCCAGGGGAGUGCCGCUCCGCAUGGCGGAUGUAUGGCCUCUGGCUGGCGGGCACAGGCAGUCUUUGUCCUUUGAACGGCUAUAUGCCUUCUUGCCACAGCACUCCAGGGAGGGGACUGCUUUCUCCCACUGUGGACUGUGCCUCUGAACUAGGUACCGGCCCUGGACUGGCUCCCCUCCUCCCAAGGUGCACAAACAGGGCAGCCAGCCCCAGUCUGUAGAAAGCCCCACAGUUCGAGAUUGGAUCUUUCUCCAUCCCGGCCCAUGGUUUUUCUCUUGUCCAGGAAGGUAUUUCUAGUUAUGGAGCCAUGAAGAGAUUGGGCAUUGGAGACCAACCAAAGGCAGAUAACAAAUUGAAGAGCCUUUAUUCUUGGAAAGCUGCUAGAACUUCAGAACACGGAAUAUCUUGGAAACAUGACAAUGAAAGUCCCUUGCCAAGGGUGGCAGCUUACGAGAAGGAAGGAGUGAAAGGCGGAUCUCCCACCCUGAAACGGAAUUGCCUACCUCUGGACAUGGGGAAGUGAGGAAAGAAGAAAAAGGAAAACCUUAUGUAUCAGAUACGGGUCUGGAAGGCACAAGAUGUAGGCCCAAUCGGCUUUAAAAAUAAUUUCAUGAAGAGACUCUUUACAGAGAUGUGAGGGAGGAUACAGGAAAUGUGUUGCAGUUCUACAGAGAAAUAAAACCAGUAGGUUCUUUCCUUUCUUUUCUCCUUUCUUCCUCCCCUUCCUCCCUCCUCCUUUCUUUUUUUCCCUUUCUUCCCUUCCUUCUUUCUUUCUUGGAAGCGGUUCAUGUCAUUAUGGAGGCUGGCAAGUCCGAAGUCUGCAGGACUGAUGUCUCAGUCUCGGUCCGAAGCCCAGCAGGUUGCUACGGAGCUAAGAAGAGCUGGUGGCUUAGCCCGAAGGCCGCCAGGCAGGAGGAUUCUGCCUUAUCUGGGGAAGAGUCAGCUUUUCUGUUCUAUCCAGGUCGUCAACUGAUUGGAUCAGGCCCACCCACAUCGGGGAGGACAAUCCACUUUACUUGUUCUACCAAUCCAACUGCUAAAUCUCAUCCCAAAACACCUCCACAGACACACUCAGAAUAAUGUCUGACAAAAUAUCUGGGCACCCCAUGGCCCAUGCAGAUUGGCACACCAAACUGACCCAUCACAGGAACUAAGAAGAGAGGAUGCAACACCCAGAAGACUAGAAGCAGUGGGGAUUCUGACAGGUUAAGGGGAGGAACAGUAUUCAGUGGAGCCAGAGCCUGAGUCAGAGAAGAGAUGCUACCUCAUAUGACCUGUGACUACAAAGGAAAGUAACUCUGCCAGAACCAGAACCAUAGCUGUGGUCACCUCUGAGUUGGGAGGAAGAACCUGUCAAGACUCAUCAAUGCACUCUCCACAGACCAAACAGUUUGGUGGAAAACAGGAUGAGUCAUGUUAAACGAGCAAUUGGUUGGAGAUCCAGGAAAGCUAACGAUGUACUGACAGUCCAAGGCCCAAACGCCUAAGGACUGGGGGAUCUGAUGGUGUGAAUCCCAGUUCGAUGAGGGCAGAAGAUGCCAUGCGAUGUUCAAGCUCAAUCAGUGAGGCAGAAAAAAGAAGUCGUUUCCUCUUCUCUCUGCCUUUUGUUCUAUUCAGGCCCCCAGUGGGUUAGAUGAGGCCCACCCACACUGGGGAGGGUAAUUUACUUUACUGAGUCUGUCCGUUCAGACGCUAAUCACAGCCAGAAAUACAGACACGCCAAGAAAUAAUGUUUCAUUUGGGCAUCCCAUGCCAGUCAAGGUGACACAAAAUUAAUCGUCACGUAAGGAUUCUCUUAUUUCAUUCAUGUGCUGGUACAUAAAGGAAAGUUGAAUGAAAGGGUGUGUUUGAAGUAGACAGCUUGUCUCAGAGAAUUUAAGAAAUGAAACCCAAGUUGCAUGACAUUUCUGCUUAUUUUCUUCUUUUCUCUCGAUGCCAAGUCUUGGGUAUUUGCAGGAAAAAAUCCUGGGGCCCCUGGGUGGCUCAGUCUGUUGAACAUCCAGUGGUCAGCAGAUAAGGAAGACCAAGGAAAGGAGGCAGAAAAGAAGAAAAGGCAGCACCAGCCCAGACCUGCUACAGAGAACUUUGCAUGAAGGCUUGGUGAAAGUGGCAAGGAAUUACAGCACAAAUCAGUAAACAACCUAAGUUCGAGUAAGUGAAUAACCUUAUCUCAAGUUCAUCGGCCAUUUCUGCUCAUAUUUUCUUUUGGGCCACUGGCCUGCUGCCAUUUUUGUGGGUCCAUUCUCUCACUCUAGGGUCUUUCCCCCCCUCAUCUUUCUCCUAGUUCCAAAUUCACCUCCCACCCAUUUCAAAGAAAACCUUUUCAAAAUAGACAUUAUAACUACAUGUAAAAUUUACUGAUAAUUCGUUCAAUGGAAGAAUUUAGCUUCUGUUUUUCAACCUCCUUAUUCCAGUCUGCCCCAGACUUUGCCUUUUGAAGUCCCAAUGUAUCCUCUCAAACAAAAUGCCAGUUUGCAAUACAUAUUUAGCAAUCCAAGAAUUGUUAGAAAUUUUGAAAAUCACAGCUUUUCUUUAACUGCUUAAAGAUCAAAUUCUUAGGUGGUUUCAAGGUCAAAGCAUUACUCAUAGCUCUGUGACCAGGGGCUUUUGUUAAAGGAAGCAGGACAGGACUAGACUUUGUUACCCUUCCCUUUGUGAAUAGAAAAUCCAAGGGUCAGAAUUUAUGCUAUCUGCCCCUCCUCAUGGCCAAAUCCAGCUCCAACUGCCUAAUAUGGGCUGUGGUCCCAUUGAGAGACCUAUACUGUAGCUCUAGAGGAUGUCUCAGGUUCACAUCAUGGGGAAGGACCAGAAGUAAGAGAGAUAGAAAAGAAGUUUUUACAACUUCUGCCAAAAUAUAUAUCUUUGAAUUGGGCUUGGGAUGCUACAUUGACUGCCUUCCAGUGCUGCAUCAUGAAGCCAAAAUUGUUUUCCCAAAAUUCAGUAAGCCAGACUCUAGUUUCUAAGGAUGGGUGAGGUGGGGAAAGCAGAGAGCUGUUGGUGCUAACUUAAUGGUGUUAUUCAUUUCUUCAUGUUCUUUUUCUGAGUACAUUUCCAGUCCCAUUCUCUUUCUCGCUCCUUUCUGGGACUCCAAUGACACAUAAGUUGGAUAUUUUGUUAUAGUUCCACAGGUCCCUGAGGUGUCUCCCCUCUUCUUCCCCUGCCCCAGUCCUUCUGUUUUCUGUUUUCAGACUGGAAAAUUUCCAUUGUUCUGUCUUCAACUUCAUUGAUUCUUCACUCUAUCCUUUCCAUUCUGCUAUUGAGACCAUCCAUUAAGUUUUUUGUUUGUUUUUGUAUUAUAUUUUUCAAUUCUAAAAUUUCCAUUAGAUUCUUCUUUAUAUUUUCUUUGCUGAGACUUUCUAUUUUUUUUUUUAUUUAUUUCAGUCAUGUGUAUAAUUGUUUGCUGGAGCAUGUUUGUUGGAUUGCUGCUUUAAAAUCACUGUCAGAUAUUUAUUUAUUUAUUUAUUUAUUUAUUUAUUUAUUUUAGAGAGAUAGAGAGCGUGAGUGAGGCAGAGGGGCAGAGGGAGAGAGAGAGAGAAUCCCAAGUAGGCCAUGCUCAGCACAGAGCUCAACAUGGGGCUAGAUCUCAUGACCCUGGGAUCAUGACCCAAGCCAAAAUCAAGAGUCGGAUGCUCAACUCACUGAGACACCCAGACACCUCCAUUGUCAGGUAUUCCUAACCUCUGUGUCAUCUGGGUGUUGGUGUUUGUUGGUUACGUUUUCUGAUUCGUGCUGAGAUUUUCCUGGUUCCUGAUAGGCUGAGUGGUUUUUGAUGAAAAUAUAGAUGUCUGGAUCUUAUGUAAAACCUCUGUGAUAGUCGGCCUCCCCUGACUCAGAUCUGGUAGGUGAAGAAGGGCACUGCCUCGUGACUGCCAGGAGGGGUGGAAAUCCACGUUUCUCACUGAUAGCUGGAGAAGAGGUGAUCCUCAUUAUUGCUGGGUGUAGGUGUGGGUGGAAGGUCAGGCUUCUUGCUAGGUCUCUGCUGAUACUACUCUGGCUUGGAGGCGGGUGGGAGUGCCUUGUUACUGCUCCUCACAUGGCCUCCACCAACACCGUGGGGCUGAAGAGGUCCUUCUUACACUAGGCAGUGAUCAAAGUUUUGAUUUUUUUCUAGGCCACCUCUGACACCGCCCAGUGGGGUGAGGGAGGGGCAGGGAUGGAAAUCUAGCCUCCCCAGUGACACUAACAGGAUUGAGUUGGGUGGCGGAUGGGACCUGGCAUAGUGAAGAGCCCCAUCAUCAUUUGGGUCUCCUUUGAUACCAGUCUAGUGGAAGGGUUGGGGCACUUCAUUAUAGCCUGGCAAAGGUGGAAGGCUGUGUACCCUACUUGGACUUUGCUGGUAAGAGUACGGUUGGGGGGGGCACAGUUUUCU